CAUGCAAGUCGAACGGAGCUUAGAGGGCUUGCUUUUUAAGCUUAGUGGCGAACGGGUGAGUAACGCGUGAGUAACCUGCCCUGGAGUGGGGGACAACAGUUGGAAACGACUGCUAAUACCGCAUAAGCCCACGGUACCGCAUGGUACUGAGGGAAAAGGAUUUAUUCGCUUUAGGAUGGACUCGCGUCCAAUUAGCUAGUUGGUGAGGUAACGGCCCACCAAGGCGACGAUUGGUAGCCGGACUGAGAGGUUGAACGGCCACAUUGGGACUGAGACACGGCCCAGACUCCUACGGGAGGCAGCAGUGGGGGAUAUUGCACAAUGGGGGAAACCCUGAUGCAGCGACGCCGCGUGGAGGAAGAAGGUUUUCGGAUUGUAAACUCCUGUCGUUAGGGACGAUAAUGACGGUACCUAACAAGAAAGCACCGGCUAACUACGUGCCAGCAGCCGCGGUAAAACGUAGGGUGCAAGCGUUGUCCGGAAUUACUGGGUGUAAAGGGAGCGCAGGCGGGAAGACAAGUUGGAAGUGAAAACCAUGGGCUCAACCCAUGAAUUGCUUUCAAAACUGUUUUUCUUGAGUAGUGCAGAGGUAGAUGGAAUUCCCGGUGUAGCGGUGGAAUGCGUAGAUAUCGGGAGGAACACCAGUGGCGAAGGCGGUCUACUGGGCACCAACUGACGCUGAGGCUCGAAAGCAUGGGUAGCAAACAGGAUUAGAUACCCUGGUAGUCCAUGCCGUAAACGAUGAUUACUAGGUGUUGGGGGAUUGACCCCCUCAGUGCCGCAGUUAACACAAUAAGUAAUCCACCUGGGGAGUACGACCGCAAGGUUGAAACUCAAAGGAAUUGACGGGGGCCCGCACAAGCAGUGGAGUAUGUGGUU
rnacentral:rRNA from 1 species